rnacentral:rRNA from 1 species
UACAGAGGGUGCGAGCGUUGUUCGGAAUUAUUGGGCGUAAAGGGCGCGUAGGCGGUGCGGUAAGUCACCUGUGAAAUCUCCUGGCUCAACUGGGAGCUUGCAGGCGAAACUGCCGUGCUGGAGUGUGGGAGAGGUGAGUGGAAUUCCCGGUGUAGCGGUGAAAAUGCGUAGAUAUCAGGAGGAACACCGAUGGCGAAGGCAGGUCUCUGGGCCGAUACUGACGCUGAGGAGCGAAAGCGUGGGGAGCGAACAGGAUAGAUACCUGA